rnacentral:rRNA from 1 species
CCUACGGGAGGCAGCAGUGAGGAAUAUUGGUCAAUGGACGAGAGUCUGAACCAGCCAAGUAGCGUGAAGGAGGACUGCCCUAUGGGUUGUAAACUUCUUUUAUAAAGGAAUAAAACGAGGCACGUGUGCCUUGUUGCAUGUACUUUAUGAAUAAGGAUCGGCUAACUCCGUGCCAGCAGCCGCGGUAAUACGGAGGAUCCGAGCGUUAUCCGGAUUUAUUGGGUUUAAAGGGAGCGUAGAUGGGUUGUUAAGUCAGUUGUGAAAGUUUGCGGCUCAACCGUAAAAUUGCAAUUGAAACUGGCAGUCUUGAGUACAGUUGAGGUAGGCGGAAUUCGUGGUGUAGCGGUGAAAUGCUUAGAUAUCACGAAGAACCCCGAUUGCGAAGGCAGCUUACUAAACUGUGACUGACAUUGAUGCUCGAAAGUGUGGGUAUCAAACAGGAUUAGAUACCCCAGUAGUC